GACGAACGCUGGCGGCGUGCUUAACACAUGCAAGUCGAGCGGAAAGGCCUUUUGGGGUACUCGAGCGGCGAACGGGUGAGUAACACGUGAGUAAUCUGCCCAUCACUCUGGGAUAGCCAUCGGAAACGGUGAUUAAUACUGGAUAUGAGAUCUGGCCGCAUGGUUGGGUUUGGAAAGUUUUUCGUGAUGGAUGUGCUCGCGGCCUAUCAGCUUGUUGGUGGGGUAANGGCCUACCAAGGCUUCGACGGGUAGCCGGCCUGAGAGGGUGACCGGCCACACUGGGACUGAGACACGGCCCAGACUCCUACGGGAGGCAGCAGUGGGGAAUAUUGGACAAUGGGCGGAAGCCUGAUCCAGCAA
rnacentral:rRNA from 1 species